rnacentral:rRNA from 1 species
UACAGAGGGUGCAAGCGUUGUUCGGAAUUAUUGGGCGUAAAGGGCGCGUAGGCGGUGCGGUAAGUCUUUUGUGAAAUCUCCGGGCUCAACUCGGAGUCUGCAGGAGAAACUGCCGUGCUUGAGUAUGGGAGAGGUGAGUGGAAUUCCUGGUGUAGCGGUGAAAUGCGUAGAUAUCAGGAGGAACACCAGUGGCGAAGGCGGCCUUCUGGACCAAUACUGACGCUCAUGCACGAAAGCGUGGGGAGCAAACAGG